ACUCCAUGAAGCUGGAUUCGCUAGUAAUCGCGCAUCAGCCACGGCGCGGUGAAUACGUUCCCGGGCCUUGUACACACCGCCCGUCAAGCCAUGGAAGCCGGGAGUGCCUGAAGUGCGUGAGCGCAGGCAGCGCCCUAAGGUAAAACCGGUGACUGGGGCUAAGUCGUAACAAGGUAGC
rnacentral:rRNA from 1 species